GACGAACGCUGGCGGCGUGCUUAACACAUGCAAGUCGAACGGAAAGGCCCUGCGUUUGUGGGGUGCUCGAGUGGCGAACGGGUGAGUAACACGUGAGUAACAUGCCCUUGACUUUGGGAUAACUCCAGGAAACUGGGGCUAAUACAGGAUAGGAGCUCCUGCUGCAUGGUGGGGGUUGGAAAGUUUCGGCGGUUGGGGAUGGACUCGCGGCUUAUCAGCUUGUUGGUGGGGUAGUGGCUUACCAAGGCUUUGACGGGUAGCCGGCCUGAGAGGGUGACCGGCCACAUUGGGACUGAGAUACGGCCCAGACUCCUACGGGAGGCAGUAGUGGGGAAUAUUGCACAAUGGGCGGAAGCCUGAUGCAGCAACGCCGCGUGCGGAAUGACGUCCUUCUGGUUGUAAACCGCUUUCGCCUUUAACGAAGCGUGAGUGACGGUAAUGGGUAAAGAAGCACCGGCUAACUACGUG
rnacentral:rRNA from 1 species